rnacentral:misc_RNA from 1 species
GAUGAAGAACGUAGCGAAAUGCGAUAAGUAAUGUGAAUUGCAGAAUUCAGUGAAUCAUCGAGUCUUUGAACGCACAUUGCGCCCCCUGGUAUUCCGGGGGGCAUGCCUGUCCGAGCGUCAUUGCUGCCCUCAAGCACGGCUUGUGUGUUGGGCCCCGUCCUCCGAUCCCGGGGGACGGGCCCGAAAGGCAGCGGCGGCACCGCGUCCGGUCCUCGAGCGUAUGGGGCUUUGUCACCCGCUCUUUAGGCCCGGCCGGCGCUUGCCGAUCAACCCAAAUUUUUAUCCAGGUUGACCUCGGAUCAGGUAGGGAUACCCUCUGAACUUAAGCAUAUCAAUAAGCGGAGGA